rnacentral:rRNA from 1 species
CAUAGGUUAAUGAGGCGAACCGGGGGAACUGAAACAUCUAAGUACCCCGAGGAAAAGAAAUCAACCGAGAUUCCCCCAGUAGCGGCGAGCGAACGGGGAGGAGCCCAGAGCCUGAAUCAGUGUGUGUGUUAGUGGAAGCGUCUGGAAAGGCGUGCGAUACAGGGUGACAGCCCCGUACACAAAAAUGCACAUAUUGUGAGCUCGAUGAGUAGGGCGGGACACGUGGUAUCCUGUCUGAAUAUGGGGGGACCAUCCUCCAAGGCUAAAUACUCCUGACUGACCGAUAGUGAACCAGUACCGUGAGGGAAAGGCGAAAAGAACCCCGGCGAGGGGAGUGAAAAAGAACCUGAAACCGUGUACGUACAAGCAGUGGGAGCCUCUUAAUGGGGUGACUGCGUACCUUUUGUAUAAUGGGUCAGCGACUUAUAUUCUGUAGCAAGGUUAACCGAAUAGGGGAGCCGAAGGGAAACCGAGUCUUAACUGGGCGUUAAGUUGCAGGGUAUAGACCCGAAACCCGGUGAUCUAGCCAUGGGCAGGUUGAAGGUUGGGUAACACUAACUGGAGGACCGAACCGACUAAUGUUGAAAAAUUAGCGGAUGACUUGUGGCUGGGGGUGAAAGGCCAAUCAAACCGGGAGAUAGCUGGUUCUCCCCGAAAGCUAUUUAGGUAGCGCCUCGUGAAUUCAUCUCCGGGGGUAGAGCACUGUUUCGGCAAGGGGGUCAUCCCGACUUACCAACCCGAUGCAAACUGCGAAUACCGGAGAAUGUUAUCACGGGAGACACACGGCGGGUGCUAACGUCCGUCGUGAAGAGGGAAACAACCCAGACCGCCAGCUAAGGUCCCAAAGUCAUGGUUAAGUGGGAAACGAUGUGGGAAGGCCCAGACAGCCAGGAUGUUGGCUUAGAAGCAGCCAUCAUUUAAAGAAAGCGUAAUAGCUCACUGGUCGAGUCGGCCUGCGCGGAAGAUGUAACGGGGCUAAACCAUGCACCGAAGCUGCGGCAGCGACACUAUGUGUUGUUGGGUAGGGGAGCGUUCUGUAAGCCUGUGAAGGUGGCCUGUGAGGGUUGCUGGAGGUAUCAGAAGUGCGAAUGCUGACAUAAGUAACGAUAAAGCGGGUGAAAAGCCCGCUCGCCGGAAGACCAAGGGUUCCUGUCCAACGUUAAUCGGGGCAGGGUGAGUCGACCCCUAAGGCGAGGCCGAAAGGCGUAGUCGAUGGGAAACAGGUUAAUAUUCCUGUACUUGGUGUUACUGCGAAGGGGGGACGGAGAAGGCUAUGUUGGCCGGGCGACGGUUGUCCCGGUUUAAGCGUGUAGGCUGGUUUUCCAGGCAAAUCCGGAAAACCAAGGCUGAGGCGUGAUGACGAAGCACUACGGUGCUGAAGCGACAAAUGCCCUGCUUCCAGGAAAAGCCUCUAAGCAUCAGGUAACAUCAAAUCGUACCCCAAACCGACACAGGUGGUCAGGUAGAGAAUACCAAGGCGCUUGAGAGAACUCGGGUGAAGGAACUAGGCAAAAUGGUGCCGUAACUUCGGGAGAAGGCACGCUGAUAUGUAGGUGAAGCGACUUGCUCGUGGAGCUGAAAUCAGUCGAAGAUACCAGCUGGCUGCAACUGUUUAUUAAAAACACAGCACUGUGCAAACACGAAAGUGGACGUAUACGGUGUGACGCCUGCCCGGUGCCGGAAGGUUAAUUGAUGGGGUUAGCGGUAACGCGAAGCUCUUGAUCGAAGCCCCGGUAAACGGCGGCCGUAACUAUAACGGUCCUAAGGUAGCGAAAUUCCUUGUCGGGUAAGUUCCGACCUGCACGAAUGGCGUAAUGAUGGCCAGGCUGUCUCCACCCGAGACUCAGUGAAAUUGAACUCGCUGUGAAGAUGCAGUGUACCCGCGGCAAGACGGAAAGACCCCGUGAACCUUUACUAUAGCUUGACACUGAACAUUGAGCCUUGAUGUGUAGGAUAGGUGGGAGGCUUUGAAGUGUGGACGCCAGUCUGCAUGGAGCCGACCUUGAAAUACCACCCUUUAAUGUUUGAUGUUCUAACGUUGGCCCGUAAUCCGGGUUGCGGACAGUGUCUGGUGGGUAGUUUGACUGGGGCGGUCUCCUCCUAAAGAGUAACGGAGGAGCACGAAGGUUGGCUAAUCCUGGUCGGACAUCAGGAGGUUAGUGCAAUGGCAUAAGCCAGCUUGACUGCGAGCGUGACGGCGCGAGCAGGUGCGAAAGCAGGUCAUAGUGAUCCGGUGGUUCUGAAUGGAAGGGCCAUCGCUCAACGGAUAAAAGGUACUCCGGGGAUAACAGGCUGAUACCGCCCAAGAGUUCAUAUCGACGGCGGUGUUUGGCACCUCGAUGUCGGCUCAUCACAUCCUGGGGCUGAAGUAGGUCCCAAGGGUAUGGCUGUUCGCCAUUUAAAGUGGUACGCGAGCUGGGUUUAGAACGUCGUGAGACAGUUCGGUCCCUAUCUGCCGUGGGCGCUGGAGAACUGAGGGGGGCUGCUCCUAGUACGAGAGGACCGGAGUGGACGCAUCACUGGUGUUCGGGUUGUCAUGCCAAUGGCACUGCCCGGUAGCUAAAUGCGGAAGAGAUAAGUGCUGAAAGCAUCUAAGCACGAAACUUGCCCCGAGAUGAGUUCUCCCUGAGACUUAGAGUCUCCUGAAGGAACGUUGAAGACGACGACGUUGAUAGGCCGGGUGUGUAAGCGCAGCGAUGCGUUGAGCUAACCGGUACUAAUGAACCGUGAGGCUUAACCUUACAACGCCGAAG